AUUCACUAGUGAUUGUAGUCAUAUGGUUGUCUCAAAGAUUAAGCCAUGCAUGUCUAAGUAUAAGCAAUUUAUACAGUGAAACUGCGAAUGGCUCAUUAAAUCAGUUAUCGUUUAUUUGAUAGUUCCUUUACUACAUGGUAUAACUGUGGUAAUUCUAGAGCUAAUACAUGCUUAAAAUCUCGACCCUUUGGAAGAGAUGUAUUUAUUAGAUAAAAAAUCAAUGUCUUCGGACUCUUUGAUGAUUCAUAAUAACUUUUCGAAUCGCAUGGCCUUGUGCUGGCGAUGGUUCAUUCAAAUUUCUGCCCUAUCAACUUUCGAUGGUAGGAUAGUGGCCUACCAUGGUUUCAACGGGUAACGGGGAAUAAGGGUUCGAUUCCGGAGAGGGAGCCUGAGAAACGGCUACCACAUCCAAGGAAGGCAGCAGGCGCGCAAAUUACCCAAUCCUAAUUCAGGGAGGUAGUGACAAUAAAUAACGAUACAGGGCCCAUUCGGGUCUUGUAAUUGGAAUGAGUACAAUGUAAAUACCUUAACGAGGAACAAUUGGAGGGCAAGUCUGGUGCCAGCAGCCGCGGUAAUUCCAGCUCCAAUAGCGUAUAUUAAAGUUGUUGCAGUUAAAAAGCUCGUAGUUGAACUUUGGGCCCGGUUGGCCGGUCCGAUUUUUUCGUGUACUGGAUUUCCAACGGGGCCUUUCCUUCUGGCUAACCUUGAGUCCUUGUGGCUCUUGGCGAACCAGGACUUUUACUUUGAAAAAAUUAGAGUGUUCAAAGCAGGCGUAUUGCUCGAAAUAUAUUAGCAUGGAAUAAUAGAAUAGGACGUUUGGUUCUAUUUUGUGGGUUUCUAGGACCAUCCUAAUG
rnacentral:rRNA from 1 species